rnacentral:rRNA from 1 species
GACGGAGGGGGCUAGCGUUGUUCGGAUUUACUGGGCGUAAAGAGCGCGUAGGCGGCUGGCCGAGUUAGGCGUGAAAGGCCCGGGCUCAACCUGGGAACUGCGCUUGAUACUGGCCGGCUGGAGAGCGGGAGAGGGUGGUGGAAUUCCCAGUGUAGAGGUGAAAUUCGUAGAUAUUGGGAGGAACACCGGUGGCGAAGGCGGCCACCUGGCCCUUUUCUGACGCUGAAGCGCGAAAGCGUGGGGAGCAAACAGG